rnacentral:rRNA from 1 species
AACGAACGCUGGCGGCAUGCCUAACACAUGCAAGUCGAACGAGACCUUCGGGUCUAGUGGCGCACGGGUGCGUAACGCGUGGGAAUCUGCCCCUUGGUUCGGAAUAAACAGCGAGAAAUUGCUGCUAAUACCGGAUAAUGACGUAAGUCCAAAGAUUUAUCGCCAAGGGAUGAGCCCGCGUAGGAUUAGCUAGUUGGUGUGGUAAAGGCGCACCAAGGCGACGAUCCUUAGCUGGUCUGAGAGGAUGAUCAGCCACACUGGGACUGAGACACGGCCCAGACUCCUACGGGAGGCAGCAGUGGGGAAUAUUGGACAAUGGGCGAAAGCCUGAU